rnacentral:rRNA from 1 species
AAGUUACUAAGGGCGUAUGGCGGAUGCCUUGGCUCUCAGAGGCGAUGAAGGACGUAACAAGCUGCGAUAAGCCACGGUGAGGUGCAAAUAACCUUUAACCCGUGGAUUUCCGAAUGGAGAAAUCCGAUAUUUUGAAGAAAUAUCAUCCCGCUUGCGGGAAGCUAACCCGGUGAACUGAAACAUCUAAGUAACCGGAGGAAGAGAAAACAAUAGUGAUUCCCUAAGUAGUGGCGAGCGAAAGGGGAAGAGCCCAAACCAUAUUUGUUUCGGCAUUUAUGGGGUUGUAGGACUGCAAUGUGGAAUUCAAAUUUGUAAUAGAAUCAACUGGAAAGUUGAACCAUAGAAGGUGAUAGUCCUGUAAAUGAAACAUAUUUGUUACCUAGCAGUAUCCUGAGUACCACGGAACACGUGAAAUUCUGUGGGAAUCUACCAGAACCAUCUGGUAAGGCUAAAUACUACUGAGAGACCGAUAGUGAACUAGUACCGUGAGGGAAAGGUGAAAAGUACCCUGAACAAGGGAGUGAAAUAGAACCUGAAACCAUACGCUUACAAGCGGUCGGAGUCCCGAUUUAUCGGGAUGACGGCGUGCCUUUUGCAUAAUGAGCCUACGAGUUAAUUUUACUAGCGAGGUUAAGGACUUCAGGUCCGGAGCCGGAGCGAAAGCGAGUCUGAAUAGGGCGCAUAGUU